AGGGCUUUAUAAAAGGUCUCGAGAUUGAAUCUGAAGUCAGUUUAGUGUCUAAUCAGCCGAAGUACUGCAGCCGCAAACACGGGAAAGAAGAUGCAGACGUCCCACAGGCCUGUGCAGUGGCUCACUGUCAUGCUUCUUGUCAUUGUUACAACAGUCCAGGGCCAACAAAGCGACAGUCGCCGAGCUGUGACCGAACACCAGCUGAUGCACGACCGCGGCCGAACCAUCCAGAGUCUCAAGAGACUCUUCUGGCUGUCCAGCGCAAUUGAGGGUCUCCACACAGCACAGACCCGCUCUGCUGCUUUCAGCCCCACAAAGGUCUUAAACCUGGCUCUGAAUCCAGAGCUGAUCCCUGAUGAUGGAAACCCCCAGAAUGCCCAAGUCAGGAGCCUCCUGAGAGACUUCUCUAAUCUGUACCUGUCAAACGGAGACGACUAACAAUGAACAGAAGCAAAACAUGAAGCUGAACAUAUAUAAAAAAUUUAUUGUAUCAAUUGUUUGAAUAAUAAAAUGCACAAAAAGCACAA